rnacentral:tRNA from 1 species
GGAGCGGUGGUGUAGCUUGGUUAACACGCGGCCCUGUCAAGGCCGAGAUCGCGGGUUCAAAUCCCGUCCGCUCCG